rnacentral:snRNA from 1 species
GGAUGUGAGGGCGAUCUGGCUGCGACGUCUGUCUCCCCAUUGAUCGCCAGGGUUGAUUCGGCUGAUCUGGCUGGUGAGGCGGGUGUCCCCUUCCUUCCUCACCGCUCCAUGUGCGUCCCUCCCGAAGCUGCGCACUCGGUGGAAGAGGACGACCAUCCCCGAUAGAGGAGGACCGUUCUUUGGUCAAGGGUAUAUGAGUAGCUGCGCUCCCCUGCUAGAACCUCCAAACAAGCUCUCAAAAUGUCAUGGACUCAAUGAUUUCUAAGCGGCGUAGAGACACAGAAGAUUUGGCAAAUGUGUCAAAUUCU